rnacentral:rRNA from 1 species
GAUGAACGCUGGCGGCGUGCCUAAUACAUGCAAGUCGAGCGAACAGAUGAGGAGCUUGCUCCUCUGACGUUAGCGGCGGACGGGUGAGUAACACGUGGAUAACCUACCUAUAAGACUGGGAUAACUUCGGGAAACCGGAGCUAAUACCGGAUAAUAUAUUGAACCGCAUGGUUCAAUAGUGAAAGACGGUUUUGCUGUCACUUAUAGAUGGAUCCGCGCCGCAUUAGCUAGUUGGUAAGGUAACGGCUUACCAAGGCGACGAUGCGUAGCCGACCUGAGAGGGUGAUCGGCCACACUGGAACUGAGACACGGUCCAGACUCCUACGGGAGGCAGCAGUAGGGAAUCUUGCGCAAUGGGCGAAAGCCUGACGGAGCAACGCCGCGUGAGUGAUGAAGGUCUUCGGAUCGUAAAACUCUGUUAUUAGGGAAGAACAAAUGUGUAAGUAACUAUGCACGUCUUGACGGUACCUAAUCAGAAAGCCACGGCUAACUACGUG